UUGACGGGGACCCGCACAAGCGGCGGAGCAUGUGGCUUAAUUCGACGCAACGCGAAGAACCUUACCAAGGCUUGACAUACACCGGAAACGUCUGGAGACAGGCGCCCCCUUGUGGUCGGUGUACAGGUGGUGCAUGGCUGUCGUCAGCUCGUGUCGUGAGAUGUUGGGUUAAGUCCCGCAACGAGCGCAACCCUUGUCCCGUGUUGCCAGCAGGCCCUUGUGGUGCUGGGGACUCACGGGAGACCGCCGGGGUCAACUCGGAGGAAGGUGGGGACGACGUCAAGUCAUCAUGCCCCUUAUGUCUUGGGCUGCACACGUGCUACAAUGGCCGGUACAAUGAGCUGCGAUACCGCGAGGUGGAGCGAAUCUCAAAAAGCCGGUCUCAGUUCGGAUUGGGGUCUGCAACUCGACCCCAUGAAGUCGGAGUCGCUAGUAAUCGCAGAUCAGCAUUGCUGCGGUGAAUACGUUGCCCGGGCCUUGUACACACCGCCCGUCACGUCACGAAAGUCGGUAACACCCGAAGCCGGUGGCCCAACCCCUUGUGGGAGGGAGCUGUCGC
rnacentral:rRNA from 1 species